GGGAGCAGGCGGCACUAAGGGUCUGUGGUGAAAGAUCGAAGCUUAACUUCGGUAAGCCAUGGAAACCGUAGAGCUAGAGUGUGUGAGAGGAUCGUGGAAUUCCAUGUGUAGCGGUGAAAUGCGUAGAUAUAUGGAGGAACACCAGUGGCGAAGGCGACGAUCUGGCGCAUAACUGACGCUCAGUCCCGAAAGCGUGGGGAGCAAAUA
rnacentral:rRNA from 1 species